rnacentral:rRNA from 1 species
UACGGAGGAUCCAAGCGUUAUCCGGAUUUAUUGGGUUUAAAGGGUGCGUAGGCGGCCUGUUAAGUCAGAGGUGAAAGACGGUAGCUCAACUAUCGCAGUGCCUUUGAUACUGACGGGCUUGAAUGAACUAGAGGUAGGCGGAAUGAGACAAGUAGCGGUGAAAUGCAUAGAUAUGUCUCAGAACACCGAUUGCGAAGGCAGCUUACUAUGGUUUAUUGACGCUGAGGCACGAAAGCGUGGGGAUCAAACAGG